rnacentral:tRNA from 1 species
AUUUAAAUAGCUUAAAGAGAGCAUGAUAUUGAAGAUAUCAAGGUAAUAUUAUAUUUUUAAAUA